AUUGAACGCUGGCGGCAUGCCUUACACAUGCAAGUCGAACGGCAGCACGGGAGCAAUCCUGGUGGCGAGUGGCGAACGGGUGAGUAAUACAUCGGAACGUGCCCAAUCGUGGGGGAUAACGCAGCGAAAGCUGUGCUAAUACCGCAUACGAUCUACGGAUGAAAGCAGGGGAUCGCAAGACCUUGCGCGAAUGGAGCGGCCGAUGGCAGAUUAGGUAGUUGGUGAGGUAAAGGCUCACCAAGCCGUCGAUCUGUAGCUGGUCUGAGAGGACGACCAGCCACACUGGGACUGAGACGCGGCCCAGACUCCUACGGGAGGCAGCAGUGGGGAAUUUUGGACAAUGGGCGAAAGCCUGAUCCAGCCAUGCCGCGUGCAGGAUGAAGGCCUUCGGGUUGUAAACUGCUUUUGUACGGAACGAAACGGCCUUUUCUAAUAAAGAGGGCCAAUGACGGUACCGUAAGAAUAAGCACCGGCUAACUACGUGCCAGCAGCCGCGGUAAUACGUAGGGUGCAAGCGUUAAUCGGAAUUACUGGGCGUAAAGCGUGCGCAGGCGGUUAUGUAAGACAGUUGUGAAAUCCCCGGGCUCAACCUGGGAACUGCAUCUGUGACUGCAUAGCUAGAGUACGGUAGAGGGGGAUGGAAUUCCGCGUGUAGCAGUGAAAUGCGUAGAUAUGCGGAGGAACACCGAUGGCGAAGGCAAUCCCCUGGACCUGUACUGACGCUCAUGCACGAAAGCGUGGGGAGCAAACAGG
rnacentral:rRNA from 1 species